rnacentral:rRNA from 1 species
UACGUAGGGUGCGAGCGUUUGUCCGGAAUUAUUGGGCGUAAAGAGCUUGUAGGCGGUUUGUCGCGUCUGCUGUGAAAAUCCGGGGCUCAACCCCGGACUUGCAGUGGGUACGGGCAGACUAGAGUGUGGUAGGGGAGACUGGAAUUCCUGGUGUAGCGGUGGAAUGCGCAGAUAUCAGGAGGAACACCGGUGGCGAAGGCGGGUCUCUGGGCCGAUACUGACGCUGAGGAGCGAAAGCGUGGGGAGCGAACAGG